rnacentral:rRNA from 1 species
UACAUGUGGGGCAAGCGUUGUUCGGAAUUACUGGGCAUAAAGGGUGCGUAGGCGGCUUGUUAAGUCAGGGGUGAAAUCCUGGAGCUCAACUCCAGAACUGCCUUUGAUACUGAAAGUCUUGAGUAUGGGAGAGGUGAGUGGAACUGCGAGUGUAGAGGUGAAAUUCGUAGAUAUUCGCAAGAACACCAGUGGCGAAGGCGGCUCACUGGCCCAUAACUGACGCUGAGGCACGAAAGCGUGGGGAGCAAACAGG